AUUGCACGCUGGCGGCAGGCCUAACACAUGCAAGUGGAGCUAGCGGCGGACGGGUGAGUAAUGUAUGGGGACUGCCCGAUAGAGGGGGAUAACUACUGGAAACGGUAGCUAAUACCGCAUACUAUCGGAUAACCCAUAUGGGAUUAGCUAGUGGGGGAGGUAAUGGCUCACCUAGGCGACGAUCCCUAGCUGGUCUGAGAGGAUGAUCAGCCACACGGGGACUGAGACACGGCCCAGACUCCUACGGAGGCAGCAGUGGGGAAUAUUGCACAAUGGGCGCAAGCCUGAUGCAGCCAUGCCGCGUGUAUGAAGAAGGCCCUAGGGGUGUAAAGUACUUUCAGUCGGGAGGCGUUACCGACAGAAGAAGCACCGGCUAACUCCGUGCCAGCCGCCGCGGUAAUUC
rnacentral:rRNA from 1 species